rnacentral:piRNA from 1 species
UCAGCACUUCAAUAUCCGUAUCAUGGGAAA